CAGGCCUAACACAUGCAAGUCGAACGGUAACAGGCAGAAGCUUGCUUUUGCGCUGACGAGUGGCGGACGGGUGAGUAACGCGUAGGAAUCUACCUAGUAGUUGGGGACAACCUGGUGAAAACCAGGCUAAUACCGAAUAAGCCCUACGGGGGAAAGUGGAGGAUAUUCGGACUUCACGCUAUUAGAUGAGCCUGCGUCGGAUUAGCUAGAUGGUGGGGUAAAAGCCUACCAUGGCGACGAUCCGUAGCUGGUAUGAGAGGACGAUCAGCCACACUGGGACUGAGACACGGCCCAGACGACCUACGGGAGGCAGCAGUGGGGAAUAUUGGACAAUGGGGGCAACCCUGAUCCAGCAAUGCCGCGUGUGUGAAGAAGGCCUGCGGGUUGUAAAGCACUUUCAGUAAGGGAGGAAAAGUUCAAGGUAAGAACCCUUGGACCCUGGCGUCACCUACAGAAGAAGCACCGGCUAACGAUGUGCCAGCAGCCGCGG
rnacentral:rRNA from 1 species